CCCUUAGAUGAUUUGGGCUGCACGCGCGCUACACUGACCCUAACAAUGAGCAACUGUCUGGCCUGAGAUGGCUGGGUAGCCUUUUCAACCCAUGUCAUGAUUGGGCUAGAUUUUUAUAAGUCUUGAUCUCUAACGAGGAAUCCCUAGUAUGCGUGAAUCAUCAAUCCAUGCAGAUUAUGUCCCUGCCCUUUGUACACACCGCCCGUCGCUCCUACUGAUUGGGUGAUCCGGUGAGCUGUUCGGCCAUAGCAAUGUUUCUUGAGCAGGGCAAUGAAUGUUUCGCAAACCUUGCCACUUAGAGGAAGGAGAAGUCGUAACA
rnacentral:rRNA from 1 species